GUGGGCAGCUUGGCUGUCAUAUGUGUGGAGCCAUUUGCUUGAACUUUGAGAAGUCACAUCGCAUAUAUGAUGGCUAAACUGCCAC
rnacentral:pre_miRNA from 1 species